CCUACGGGUGGCAGCAGUGAGGAAUAUUGGUCAAUGGGCUUACGCCUGAACCAGCCAAGUCGCGUGAGGGAAGACUGCCCUAUGGGUUGUAAACCUCUUUUGUCAGGGAGCAAUUGGCGCUACGUGUAGCGUUAUCGAGAGUACCUGAAGAAAAAGCAUCGGCUAACUCCGUGCCAGCAGCCGCGGUAAUACGGAGGAUGCGAGCGUUAUCCGGAUUUGUUGGGUUUAAAGGGUGCGUAGGCGGAAUGCCAAGUCAGCGGUAAAAUCGCGGGGCUCAACCUCGCUCCGCCGUUGAGACUGGCGUUCUUGAGUGAGUGAGAGGUAGGCGGAAUGCGUGGUGUAGCGGUGAAAUGCGUAGAGAUCACGCAGAACUCCGAUUGGGAAGGCAGCAUACCGGCGCUCAGCUGACGCUCAUGCACGAAAGUGUGGGUAGCGAACAGGAUUAGAGACCCCGGUAGUC
rnacentral:rRNA from 1 species